rnacentral:tRNA from 1 species
GUACGGUUAGUGUAGUCUGGCUAACCACGCCUCGAUGCCAUCGAGGAGACACCGGUUCGAAUCCGGUACCGUGCA